CCCUCUCUAGCUCAACGGCAGAGCGUUCGGCUGUAGACCGAAAGGUUCCUGGUUCAAAUCCGGGGGGGGGGA
rnacentral:tRNA from 1 species